rnacentral:rRNA from 1 species
UACAGAGGGGGCGAGCGUUGUUCGGAAUCACUGGGUGUAAAGGGUGCGUAGGCGGUCGGGUAAGUCUGUCGUGAAAUCUCCGAGCCCAACUCGGAAACUGCGUCGGAUACUAUUCGGCUAGAGGAAUGAGGGGAGACUGGAAUUCUCGGUGUAGCAGUGAAAUGCGUAGAUAUCGAGAGGAACACCAGCGGCGAAGGCGAGUCUCUGGACAUUUCCUGACGCUGAGGCACGAAAGCCAGGGGAGCAAACGGG